rnacentral:rRNA from 1 species
AUUGAACGCUGGCGGCAGGCCUAACACAUGCAAGUCGAACGAGUGGCGGACGGGUGAGUAAUGUCUGGGAAACUGCCUGAUGGAGGGGGAUAACUACUGGAAACGGUAGCUAAUACCGCAUACCAUCAGCUGUGCCCAGAUGGUAUUAUCUGGUAGGUGGGGUAACGGCUCACCAAGGCGACGCUCCCUAGCUGGUCUGAGAGGAUGACCGGCCACACUGGAACUGAGACACGGUCCAGAUGCCUACGGGAGGCAGCAGUGGGGAAUAUUCCGCAAUGGGCGCAAGCCUGAUCGAGCCAUGCCGCGUGAAUGAAGAAGGUUUUCGGGUCGUAAAGCACUGUUGUCGGGGAGGCGGUAAGUAAAGAAGAAGCCACGGCUAACUCCGUGCCAGCAGCCGCGGUAAUAG